UACGUAGGGUGCGAGCGUUAAUCGGAAUUACUGGGCGUAAAGCGUGCGUAGACGGUUUUGUAAGUCGGAUGUGAAAUCCCCGGGCUCAACCUGGGAAUUGCAUUCGAGACUGCAAGGCUUGGGUGCGGAAGAGGGAAGCGGAAUUUCCGGUGUAGCGGUGAAAUGCGUAGAUAUCGGAAGGAACAUCGGUGGCGAAAGCGGCUUCCUGGUCCAGCACCGACGUUCAGGCACGAAAGCGUGGGGAGCAAACAGG
rnacentral:rRNA from 1 species